GUAUUACUUUUGAAGGAGUGGAUGCCGAUUUGCCAUAUCCUUCAUACUGAUAUUAAUUAUUUUAUUACAUGAUUUCUUGUUUGACUAUUAAUCAAGUUAUAGCAAGAGUGAAAUGUGUAACCUUAUGUGUGCUGUAUUUCUUUUCCUCAAGAUUAAUGUCCACAUAUUAUGUGUGUGUAUCCAACCGUAAUGAUAAGACACUCGCCAGUGCUAGAAAGCCUUGAAUUUUAGAUAAGUUCUCUGUGUACGUGUGUUAGUAUCUGUCUGUACAGGGAGAAGCUCAGACAGUCCCAGGACAAACGAUCAACUGCCAGUGUCCAGCAUAUCAGAUAUACGUCUUUGGAGAGUUUAUCUAGGUUUUGGAACCAAUCAGAAUUUUGUUGACUCAUGUAUUGACGCAAUUAGUAUCCUCUGUCAGGGUAUAACUGUGGUUGAUUUUGUAUUGUACUGGGGGGCGGCCUGCGAACUCCUUCGAGAGUGUUGAAGCUGACUUCUGCUGAUGAAAUUGCUAACUAUUUUCUUCAAGUAAAAUUAUUAUUAUUAAUUGAACUCAUAUCUGAGUCCUGGUCUUCAUUGCGACAUAUCUGGUCCUUGGGUUUUAACUGUAAAUUCCCCUACAGUUAAUGGUGGAGGAUCGGCGGGCAAUAGUUCUUUGUUGACAUCCCUGAUCAAUCAUCAAACCAAGGUAGGAAAGAUUUUAGAUUUAAUAUUAUUGGUAGGGACUGUCUGUAAGUGGAGGGGGUCGAGAGAAGGAGGAACGAUAGACUCACUCAGACGUGAGGGGGUAGACACCAGCUCCAGGGUGGAGUAGGUAAAUUGGUGUCACAAUAUACCUGUAAAUAAGUAACCUUGUGAGUAUAAGGGGUACAAGUACACAUCGGUAGGUCUUGAUAUAAGAUAUUUAGAGAUGUGUACAGUUACAGAGGGAACAGGUGCACACCUAUAGGUCUUAGAGAGAGACGUAAAAAUUUGUUUCUAGGUGUGCACAGUCCAGGGGGGGACAAAAACGCAUUCUUAACAGGCAUGUGAACCAGUAAAGGGCAGUGCUGGGUCAAGCACCGAGGGACAAGGGACACAUAGAGCCGUAAAUAGGCAGUGCUGGGUCAAGCACAGAAAGCCGAAAAGCACGAGAGGCCAUAAAGGGCAGUGCAUUUACGGCCAGGGUAAGCCAAAGUAGGGGUAUGGGAAAUCCCGAGAAGAAUGUAAGACGCUAGACGGGGGUUCUAGUCGUAUCUCGCUCUUCCAACUCUUGAUCACCCACCAUUACAGACAGGGGCGCCCCGAGCUUAGAAAUAGGCCAGGUCAGUGGUUAGGGAAAAGAGUAUCCAAAAUUAGUGUUUAAAAAUAAAUAGUGAUAAUUCAUAUGUGCACCUAUAAAAAUAUAGGGAUAUAUGCAAAGGGAAAGUAUUGAUUGAUCUGGGAUGCCUUAGGAACAACCCCAAAAGAGCUAAAAUGUAGUUUUCAUGACCCUGAUUGGAUUGGACCAGUAUAUGGAAAUUCUGGAAUAUACUUUGCAAUUUCAUCACGCAGAAGUCAAGUGCUGUUGGUAAGAUCGCCGCCUCAAUAUGUUUUUGGUUUAUGAUAGAAAUAUGACUGACAAAUUAGGUAACCUGGUCAGCCCUGAUAGAAAUAAUGAAACAGAAGAGAGCAAAUGCUGUAAACAGUUUGGCUCUGAAGCUCUGACUUUAAAAAAAUAUAUAUAUUCUCUGAAUUCAUUUAAAGAAUGAUCAGUCUGAGCUUUAAUUCUGAUUGUAAUGUUAAAACAAAAACUUGAUUGGCUUUAAACUUAGAAAGAACCUGAGAAAUAAACAUUUAUAAAUGUAUGUGCCGAUUUGUUAAAAAUAAUCCCAGAAGUAACUGAGUGAUGAUUUAAUCUGAUUCUCUGUGCAUAGAAGGUUUAAAUGACAAAGAAUGAUAUCAUAAGACCUGUUCCAGUUCCUAUAUAAUUGUUGAAAGUCCUGACAAGGAAUACUGAACAGAAUUCUGGGUUAGUGAAAAAAAAAAAAAACUGUAGGCACACAAAUUGGCAGUGGCAUUUUGGAAAAACUUAGAAGCUUAUGUUUUGUUAAAAAAGAUAAAAUUACUUUGACUACAAUGAAGCCGUUGUUUUAUCUCAUGCUGGCCCCCACCAUGACUCUGGCUUAAGCUUUGAAAGUACCAGAGACAUGUUCUGAGUAAAAAAAAAAAAAUGUAAUUUCUAUAUUUACUAAUGUUUGGCCAAAAGAGUAAUUUUAUUGUUGGAUUGCAAAAUUAUAGUUACGCAGCAUCAUAAAAAAAGAAAAAAGAAGAGAAAAGAAAAUUAUUUUUUGUUUAUGAGAUGAUAAAGUUGUAAACAAGUAACAUAAACGGGGGUUUCAAAGUAACUUUGAAGACAGCAUGCUAGCAAGACCCAAAGUAAUAUACCUGGGUCAGAUAACCUCUGACAGAUUUAAAACCAAUGUUGAAAUUCAGAAGCCAUGGCCAGAAUUAAGUGAAUGGAUAAAUACAAGUUGAUGUAAAAGUAAUGACAAUGACUGCAAAGAACUUUGAGAAACAUUUGAGUUGCGAAAAUAAAGUAAAAAUACAAAUAUAAAGAUGUUUAUUUUUAAAAUGCAUAUAAUUUCUGACAAGUUUUAAACUGGGCUAGAGUAAAAUGAUAGUACGAUGAAAUUAUGUUAAAAAUGAAUGAAAAUGCAUUGUUACGAGUCCUGAAUCCCUCAGAGUUCUCUCUCUCUCAUUCAAAGUAAGCUAAAAUGCCGUUAUCUGAGCUUGUGUUUAAGUGAUAAGAUAUUUAUAGUACAGCACAGUGUUUCAGUCAAAUCAUAGGCAGAGAUGCUAAAGGACAUGCUAAAAAGAGUUCAGAUUUAAUGCAUUAAGAGGGCAAUUGGUAGUUAAAUGUUCAACUGCCCAAUGCAUGUAAGAAAUAAGAGAUUAUAAAAAUAAUGAAUAACAAUAAGCAAUUGUUGAAGAGACAUGAGGUCUUUAAAAUCAUAAUACAGACCCUGAGCUAUAGAUGUAAUAAUUUUGCAUAGUUAAACAGUUGUAUUGCUAUUUGUUCUAUGACCAGUAACUUAUCUGUCUUAUUUUUAGUCUCCACCAUCAUACAGGGCCUGAUGGCUGCAGCUACAGAAGCAACAGAAAAUUACAAUGAAUGGACGGGUGUGAAAAAUAAAUUCACUGAGUAAUCUCAGCAUGAUAGUUUGGAGGUAUCCAAUUGAGUUUAGCGAUUAAAUAUUAGUUUGAUUAACCUUUUUCAAUGUUUUAACACUAGUAGGUGCUGUCAAUGGCUCUCAUGGUUCUUGAGUGCACCUUUCCUAAGCUGCAGGAAAUACUGGAUUCUGGAAGAAGACUGUCGAGGAUGUUGCAACGGGAAAGAGUGGUUACCAGUGUGCAUGAGGUGAUUUCUCAAUGACGGGUAAGAUCCUCUUCUGGCCAAUAGGGGACAACCUAAGGCAGGGGGUCACCGCCACUGGGCACCUGCCCUGAAGGGAGGUGUUAUAUGUGAGAUGGUAGUGGAGUUGAGCGGAUGCUUGAUAGGCCUAGAGCAUCAUUAAGAGGGGAACUGUAGGAAGUACAGCAAUCUGCCUCAAAAUGUGAGCUCCUCCAGACCUGAUCACCAGCAACCGCAUUCCUUGACUGAUUGUUGUGACAAGCGUCCACAACUUGAUGCAACUAUGCCAGGGGAUCACACCCUGAGGACAAGGAGCUUAUUUAUAAAGAGUUAAUGGCAAUGGGCUUUCAAGAACCAUCUGAGACCAUGUGAUGACAGCCAUUAUUUUGAGACAAAAAUUUCUUAUGAGGCUAAAAUGAUAUUGAACUAAUAUGUCUAUAUCAUAGUCUUUACUCAUGCAGGUCAUUAGGAAUGACACAAGAUGAUAACAAGAUAUGGUGGUGGCUAAAAAUGAAGACUGCUUCUGCUUAAUCAAGAGAUGGUUUAGAUAACAAAGGUUAAGGGAAUUAAGCAUGUAAGGUAAAAAUAAUUUUAAAGAAAUGUUCCUAGCAUUAUGUAUUUUAAACAGUUUAAACUGAGAUUUUAGAUCUAGAAACUUUGACAUUUUUAACUUAUUUGAAUAAUUUAGGGUUAUAUGUUGUAAUGAAUUUUAUAUUAUAGUCUAAGUUAAAGUUUGGCAAAAAUUGUCAAAAUAAAUAAAUAAAUAAUAUUUUGCACAGUAAGAGAGAGAGAGAGAGAGUGCUUGAGUGGAGGCAGGGAUAGUGCUCUUCUUCUAUUAUUGGCCUGCUAAGAAAGAGUAACCAAAACAGAGCAAUAAUUUUAAGACCAAAACAACAGCUGAUUUUUCUCAAAAUAAAAAAUCAUUAAUGAACAGGCAAACUUUGAGAUUAGAUAAGAGAUUAGGUACAAACUUGGUAAAAUGCACAGACAAUGUUUGAGUUUAAAUCCUUCCGAUUUAAUACCAAAAGGAAAACCUUAAAUAUGAGCUGUUAAAAUAUAAAUGUGUUAAGUAUGUGCAUGCAUGAGGAUGGCUAUAUAUAUAUUAUUGGGGGACAAUUCUGUUCCUGUUUUGUUUCAAUUGAGUCACUAACCUCUGGAAUGAGUGUUUUAUCAUUACAGAUGUGUUAAGUGAAAUUACUUUACAGAAGUCGAUAAUUCUGAGUGAAACUAAUGAAAAGACAAUGCCGAACAUGGGACGAGCUUGAAGUGGAUUGGUUAUCCAGCUCUGUCUGCUACUGGUAAUAAUGACUUGUUUUGUCUUUUAUAAUGCUGAUUUAAAUCACUCUCUGGAUUAAUAUGUUAAAGAGUGUUUAUAUGAUUGGAUUUGUGAAAUUUAAGUUUGCCGUCCAAAAUGGGUUUAAAAUCCAUGCCUAAAUUUAAAUGAGGGUCUAAAUUUUAACAAGUUAACACUUUGUUGUUUGAAUGGUGAAGGUAAAUAUUUUAGACUUGACGGCAGAAAAACAGUGACAGAUUGGCUACGUCACUAACCAAAUUAUCCAGAGAGCACCCUCACAUAAAGAAGCCUGGUGGGAAAACAAAGGAGUGAAUCCUGCUUGUGUAAUAUAGUGCAAAAGCUUUAUGUAGUGGUUUAUGUAGAACAGAGAUAAGUUGAACAAAAACGUGUGGAUAGCCCCUUAAUGGAGCAAAUCCAUAACAAGAGGUUUGAAUUAAUUGAAAUAGCACAGCAAAAAAAAAAAAUAAUAAUAAUAAAUUUUGUUUGAACAAAACAAUUGUAAUAGGCUCUAUGGAGCUGCUUAUGAACACCUGUCAGGGCUUUUUGAUAAUGUAUACUGUUUCAAUACAGAUUUACAGAAACUGAGGAUGUCUCUUUAAUAAAUAUUUGGGCGUUUAGAACUAAGUAAUAGUAUUGUUCAUUUAGUAAUAGUAUUGGGAAAUCUGUGUGCUCUUUUUCAGUUUAUAAUAAUUUUGAGUAAAUAAAUAUCACUGCCAAAUGACAAACAUGAACAAAGGUUUUAAAGACAUUGAUCACGUAGCUGAUGUGUAAGCAUUUCUAACUGACAAAACAGUGAGAACUAAAUUGACUUAAUACGAGGUAUUGAGGAUUUGCUUCUGAA